AUUGAACGUUGGCGGCAGGCCUAACACAUGCAAGUCGAGCGAGCGGCGGACGGGUGAGUAAUGUCUGGGAAACUGCCUGAUGGAGGGGGAUAACUACUGGAAACGGUUGCUAAUACCGCAUACCAUCAGAUGUGCCCAGAUGGGAUUAGCGAGUAGGUGGGGUAAUGGCCCACCUAGGCGACGAUCCCUAGCUGGUCUGAGAGGAUGACCAGCCACACUGGAACUGGGACACGGUCCGUGCUCCUACGGGAGGCAGCAGUGGGGAAUAUUGCACGAUGGGCGCGAGCCUGAUGCAACCAUGCCGCGUGUGUGAAGAGGGCCUUCGGGUUGUAAAGCACUUGCAACGGGGAGGCAUUACCCGCAGAAGAAGCACCGGCUAACGCCGUGCCAACGAACGCGGUAAUUC
rnacentral:rRNA from 1 species